rnacentral:piRNA from 1 species
ACAGCAAAUCUUUGCCAUCUGUUCCUGUCC